UCAGCCAAUUAGAGCAUAGGCCAUAUUGUUCGUCUGGUUGCCUAACUUCCUUCUUCACUAUCACGGAAAAAUCAGUUGAAAAUUGACUGUACCUGUGCAUAUUUUCAUCAUUCUUCAUCAAAAAUGCUGAAGGAGGUGAAUUUCAAUGAAGCUGUGAUCCAUAAUGGACCUGUGUGAACUUGUCAACAGCCUGUCAUUCUGUUAGCAUGAAAAUCUAUUCAAUAAUGAGUCCCUUCUGUUUUCCAUCAGCUAAAUUUUGGAAGAAGUGCAAUGGAGUUUUUCAUGAUGCUUACGGUUUCUGCGCGGUAAAGUCUGCUAAGAGGAAGACGUGAUCGAUGCCCGUGGGAUGCGAGGGCGUUCCUGGGUGCGGGUGGUGGUUGAGACAAAUGGACGUCGCGCGUCUCCCAACCACGCCCUUUGCAGAAGUAUAGAGA